CACGGGUGAGUAACACGUAUCCAACCUGCCGUCUACUCUUGGACAGCCUUCUGAAAGGAAGAUUAAUACAAGAUGGCAUCAUGAGUCCGCAUGUUCACAUGAUUAAAGGUAUUCCGGUAGACGAUGGGGAUGCGUUCCAUUAGAUAGUAGGCGGGGUAACGGCCCACCUAGUCUUCGAUGGAUAGGGGUUCUGAGAGGAAGGUCCCCCCACAUUGGAACUGAGACACGGUCCAAACUCCUACGGGAGGCAGCAUG
rnacentral:rRNA from 1 species